rnacentral:misc_RNA from 1 species
AGAAUCCACGCGAUCAAUAUUUGAAGAUAAUUGCCUCCUGGUACUUCUGAUUGAUGCAUAAACAUUUUCAAGUUGUUGGGCUAUAGAAGUGCAAGCAUCGGAUAAACCUCGUCUUGUUGCAAACAUCAUGUCUGGAAGNGCCCUUCCACCAAACAUAGCCAUAUCCAAAUACACCCACGACAACAAUUAUACCAUAUUUACUUGCACCUGCACCUGUCCCGCUUGCAGUUACAAUUGUAACUGAUCUGUUUGAUGCUAACAUUUGCAGCUCCUNNNNNNNUAACCUGAGCCAUCAAAGAAUCAUUAUGUGGCUUGCCAAUUGAUGAGGUAGAAUCAUCUUUUCUAAUUUGCUUAAAAGCAAUCUUGAAUGCACCUGAAACCAAAUCAGACACAUUUGACAAGCGCCCCUCUUUUGCAAGAACUGAGCCAAUAAUACCUGCACCAACAAGGAUGGUUAACUUGCCGAGGGGGAGAGCCAUGGCCAGUGAUUCUUCUUUAAAAAAAAAUCAAUAGAUACAAUAUCAAUUAUAUCUAUAGCCCAUAGAAAUCAAUGCACAUCGCAGCUAUUGAGUAUCAGCCAAGUCUCUAAUUGGAAAAAUAGGUGAACGAGAAAGGAUUCUCUCUGUGUGAGAGUGGGUUUUGUAUCGGGUUUCAGUGUCCUAGUGGGAAUUGAAUAGAGCCGAG